ACUCCUACGGGAGGCAGCAGUGGGGAAUAUUGCACAAUGGGCGCAAGCCUGAUGCAGCCAUGCCGCGUGUAUGAAGAAGGCCUUCGGGUUGUAAAGUACUUUCAGCAGUGAGGAAGGUGGGUAUGUUAAUAGCAUACUCAUUUGACGUUAGCUGCAGAAGAAGCACCGGCUAACUCCGUGCCAGCAGCCGCGGUAAUACGGAGGGUGCGAGCGUUAAUCGGAAUUACUGGGCGUAAAGCGCAUGCAGGUGGUUUGUUAAGUCAGAUGUGAAAGCCCGGGGCUCAACCUCGGAAUUGCAUUUGAAACUGGCAAACUAGAGUACUGUAGAGGGGGGUAGAAUUUCAGGUGUAGCGGUGAAAUGCGUAGAGAUCUGAAGGAAUACCGGUGGCGAAGGCGGCCCCCUGGACAGAUACUGACACUCAGAUGCGAAAGCGUGGGGAGCAAACAGGAUUAGAUACCCUGGUAGGCACAGC
rnacentral:rRNA from 1 species